AUUGCCUAGCGAUGGGAAUUGGUUAGCACGGAACGUAAACAAAGCAAAUCAAGGCAAUUCUCACGAAGAAUCUUCUACCAGGUGCGGUCCAGUUCGCCAUCGUCACCAGAGCACUUGAUCUUGAUGUUGGUGCCGUUCUCCUUGAGCCAUGGCUGAGUCCAGAUCUUCACGGUGCACUGCUUUUUGUCGGAUCCAUUGUCAAGUUCCACCUCGUAGGUGUUAAGACUUCCAGCUACGACCUGACCCGUCACAGAGGUCACAUUGAUUGCCCUAAGAUCAGCAGAUCAAUUAGUAUGAAUUUUAAAUUCGGAACUCAGUUCUAACUCACUUGUAGCUGGGACCAUCUCCGGUGGCCAACUGUGCGAGAGUGGCAUCCAGAAGUUCCAGAGCCUCCUUCCUGCUGUUUCCCUCCAACUGGCUGACACCGCCUACCACCUGCUCAUCGGCUGCUUGGGUGGCAAUCAAGCUGACGAGAACCAGACCCAAAAUACACAAAGAUUUUACUACGUUCAUGUUGCUCGCUCGACGACUCUGAGAGAACUGAUGAACACCCGGCGAUGUGGCCCAUUUUAUACCUGCCAUCUCAGUGGGAGAUCAACAAUGGAAAAAUACAAUAGGCUCUCUAUGCCAUCGAUCCAAGACUUGACUGGCCCAUCAUCAGAACUAUCAAUAACCAGAACCUCACUCGGGGUUUACAAUAUUUAAGAAAAUUGCUUAGAAAGGCAAAAUAAGUGAAAAAAUAGUUUUAAGAUUCGAAAUAUUUUUUUUUAGAACAU
ensembl:ncRNA asRNA:CR44095 antisense RNA:CR44095